GGGGUAAUGGUUUAGUGGUAUAAUGCUCGUUUUGGGUACGAGUGGUCCGGGGUUCGAUUCCCCGUUACCCCC